GCAUCGAUGAAGAACGCAGCGAAAUGCGAUAACUAAUGUGAAUUGCAGAAUUCAGUGAAUCAUCGAGUCUUUGAACGCACAUUGCGCCCUCUGGUAUUCCGGAGGGCAUGCCUGUCCGAGCGUCAUUGCUGCCCUCAAGCCCGGCUUGUGUGUUGGGCCCCGUCCCCCCCGCCGGGGGGACGGGCCCGAAAGGCAGCGGCGGCACCGCGUCCGGUCCUCGAGCGUAUGGGGCUUCGUCACCCGCUCUAGUAGGCCCGGCCGGCGCCAGCCGACCCCCAACCUUUAAUUAUCUCAGGUUGACCUCGGAUCAGGUAGGGAUACCCGCUGAACUUAAGCAUAUCAAUAAGCGGAGG
rnacentral:rRNA from 1 species